GGGGUUGUAACUCAGUUGUGUAGAGUACUUGUCUGUCGAACAAGAGGUCGCGGGUUCAAGUCCCGUCAGCCCCG
rnacentral:tRNA from 1 species